rnacentral:sRNA from 1 species
UCAACAAAUAGCAAUGGCAACAAAGUCCAU